rnacentral:rRNA from 1 species
GCAAGGGGCGGGCGUGCUAUACAUGCAAGUCGAGCGAAUUGAUGGGAGCUUGCUCCCUGAUAUUAGCGGCGGACGGGUGAGUAACACGUGGGUAACCUGCCUGUAAGAUUGGGAUAACUCCGGGAAACCGGAGCUAAUACCGGAUAACAUGUUGAACCGCAUGGUUCAACAUUGAAAGAUGGCUUUUGCUAUCACUUACAGAUGGACCCGCGGCGCAUUAGCUAGUUGGUGAGGUAACGGCUCACCAAGGCGACGAUGCGUAGCCGACCUGAGAGGGUGAUCGGCCACACUGGGACUGAGACACGGCCCAGACUCCUACGGGAGGCAGCAGUAGGGAAUCUUCCGCAAUGGACGAAAGUCUGACGGAGCAACGCCGCGUGAACGAUGAAGGCCUUCGGGUCGUAAAGUUCUGUUGUUAGGGAAGAACAAGUACCAGAGUAACUGCUGGUACCUUGACGGUACCUAACCAGAAAGCCACGGCUAACUACGUGCCAGCAGCCGCGGUAAUACGUAGGUGGCAAGCGUUGUCCGGAAUUAUUGGGGCGUAAAGCGCGCGCAGGUGGUUUCUUAAGUCUGAUGUGAAAGCCCACGGCUCAACCCGUGGAGGGUCAUUGGAAACUGGGGGAACUUGAGUGCAGAAGAGGAAAGUGGAAUUCCAGUGUAGCGGUGAAAUGCGUAGAGAUUUGGGAGGAACACCAGUGGCGAAGCGACGUUUCUGGUCUGUAACUGACACUGAGCGCGAAGCGUGGGGAGCGAACAGACUUAGAAUACCCUGGGUAGUCCACGCCGUAACCGAUGAGUGGCUAAGUGUUAAAGGAUUCCGCCCAUUUAGUGCUGGCAGCAAACGUCAUUUAGCACUUCCGCCUGGGGGAGUACCGUCGCAAGAACUGGAACUCAAUGAACUGACCGGAGCCGCACAAGCGUUGAAACAUGUGAUAAGCGACACGCGGAACUAACAGG